UGCCUCAUGCCCUGUCCCUGCUGUGGCUGCACAUUGUUGCACUAGGUCAAGGAUUUCCCUCCUGCUCUCCUGCCAUCCCAUUUAUUACGUAGGCUUAGAGGUGGUCCUCCUGCCCCAUUGACUACUGCUGCUUUGCUUACUUGCUUUUUUAGACUAAUUUCCUUUUU